rnacentral:rRNA from 1 species
UACGUAGGGUGCAAGCGUUGUCCGGAAUUAUUGGGCGUAAAGAGCUCGUAGGUGGCCUGUCGCGUCGGCUGUGAAAACUCGGGGCUCAACUCCGAGCUUGCAGUCGAUACGGGCAGGCUUGAGUGCGGCAGAGGAGACUGGAAUUCCUGGUGUAGCAGUGAAAUGCGUAGAUAUCAGGAGGAACACCGAUGGCGAAGGCAGGUCUCUGGGCUGACACUGACGCUCAUGCACGAAAGCGUGGGGAGCAAACAGG